rnacentral:ribozyme from 1 species
GCUGCUCGGAUAAUCACACACCUCUUCGUGGUGAGCAGCAGGCAACAAUCUUACAAUCGGCGAAGAUGUGAGA